rnacentral:ncRNA from 1 species
UUGUCUUCGGGGCGGGGCGAAAUUCCCCACCGGCGGUAACAGUCCGCGAGCGGCCAUCGGCUGCAGGAUUCGGUGCAAUUCCGGAACCGACAGUAUAGUCUGGAUGAGAGAAGGCG